GGCACGGUGGCUUAGUGGUUAGCACUGUGGCCAUGCACCUCUGGGGUUGUGGGUUUCAAAUCCCGCCUCUGCUC